GGACGUCUGAGAUUAAACAUUGAACUUAGUACUAUGGGGGUUUUUUCAUGUAAAUUCCACUGCCAUUGUUGGUAAAUAAGGAAAUUGUUGGUUCCAAAAUAUUUAAACGUGUUGAGAAAACAUUUGUAUUCAUUGCCGACUGUCAAGCCUGAAUCAUGAAGAAGUUUAUACUGCUAGUUUUUGUCACCAUUAUGGUGAUACUUUAUGCGAGGUCUAGCCAGGCCUGCUCCAGAAUUCCGGAUCCUGACCCUGUAACAGAACCACCAGAAACACACCCACUACCAGAAGGAACAACACCACCACCGCCACCAGAUGGAUCGGGACCAACACCGCAAAGAACACCACCAAAUGGUUUUAGGCGGUAGAUCAACAGCAGGACUCCAUGCCUCAGGAGUGGCUUCUACAAUACUUUCACUACGGUAUUCCAGGAAAAGAUGUUCCUCAGAUGAUACACUUCCAUUAAAGGCGUUGUUAACGGUAUCCAGCAAUCUAUAGUCAUGUGAUCUGAUCGAACCAAUCAGAAAUCUACAAUAUAAUUAAAGAUUGGCCUAUUGAAAAUGUAUGUUAACCCAAUAUAGCAAAAAAGGUGAUGAGAAAUUAUAACUAUAUUAUUAUUUCAUAAUGUACUCAGUAUAUGAUUUAUUUUGUAAGCGUCAUAUAGAAAUUAUUACAAUGGAAGACUGUUGCCUUAGCAUUGAUUGUCUACAGCAUGAAUGGAAGACUCGAGCGUAAGGAUUUCACGAGUCACAGAUAAAAUAGCUAAAGGUGAUUUUAAUACACAGAUUUCCAAUUUUAUAGAUUUUAUUAUGGUUUUGGGCAAUAAAUGAUGUUGAAUAUAUACUCUAAA